CUCGGCAAAAGAAAAGUCUUGUACUGCCUUUGGAAAAGAAAAAGAAAGCCAAUGCAAUCCCUACAACUCAUCAUAUUCCCUUUUUACCCUCCAAUUUGAUUUUUUUUUCUUCUGCAACUUCCAAUGACUUUUGGGUUCUUUCUGAUUCAAAAAGAAGAAAAUAUCUCCGAUUUUACGAGUUCUGCAAGCAAUUUCUUUUAACCAAUGGUGAAAUCAGGAGAAGAUGGCUCUUUAUCAUCAGUGGCUCCUUUUCUCAAGAAAUGUUAUGAAAUGGUGGAUGAUGACUCUACAAACUCCAUCAUUUCUUGGAGCCAAGAUAAUGAUAACUUUAUUAUAUGGGACAUGACUCAAUUUUCUAUUCAAUUGCUUCCUAAGUACUUCAAGCACAACAAUUUCUCAAGUUUCAUAAGGCAGCUCAAUAUCUAUGGAUUCAGGAAAACCGAUACAGACCGUUGGGAAUUUGCAAAUGAUGGAUUUAUCAGAGGCAAAAAACAUUUGUUAAAGAAUAUCUGCAGAAGGAAAAAUUCUCAGGGCGCAGACAAUCGAAAAUCAUUGCAGCAGCAGGACAACGCAGUUGAGUCCUGUGACAAAAUUGGAAAUGAGGGCCUGUGGAAGGAAAUUGAGAAUCUGAAGACCAGCAAAAAUGCACUAAUGCAGGAGUUAAUUAAGCUUAGGCAACAUCAGGAAAAUACAGACAAUAAAUUGGUCCUCUUGAGAGAUCGUUUUCAAGGAAUGGAAAAAAAUCAGCAGCAGAUGCUUUCAUUCUUAGUCAUGGUCAUGCAAAGCCCAGGAUUUCUGGCUCAGCUGCUUCACCCAAAAGAAAAUAAUUGGCGGAUGGCUGAACCAGGAAGCAUAGUAGAACAGGGUGCAGAUGAAGAACAAUGGGCUUCUGGUAGGAUGAUAGUAAAGUACCAGCCUCCAAUUGAUGAGAUGCUUACACCUAUGGAAGUAAAUUACCAGCCUCCGAUAGAAGAGAUGCCUGCAUCUAUGGUUUCAGAAAACCCACAAGAAUCUAACCCUUUUCCUGAUGGGAUAAAAGAUUCUUUCCUGAGUCCUGAUUUUAUGAAAUUACUUAUGGAUGAGAAUUUGUCUUCUUUUGAAACGCUUGCCCCAUUUAUUCUACCAGAAUUUCCAGAUGAUGGUGCAUGGGAACAACUGCUUUUAGCCAGUUCUUUCUCACAGAAUGUUGAAGAAUCCAAACGAGAUGCGGAUGCUGAAAAUGAAAUUGGGAUAGCAGCUUCUGGAAACCAGGUUGACCAAUUGGAUGAAUCUGAAAAUUUUGGAUUUUUAGUGGAAGAUAUAGAAAAGUACCAGAGCUUGGAGAGCAAAUCAAUGGAUUAUGAAAAUCAUUCAGGGAAGUCUCAGAACUUGGAAAUUGUAACCAAGAAGAUGGCUCUUUUGACAUCAGAAAUUAACCAAAAGAAUAGUCUGUAGUAGAAAAGCACAUUAAAAAGUAUUAUUUAUGCUCAUCUGUUCCUGCACAGACCAAUCAUUUGUAAACAAUUGACUAGAUUUUUGGUGGGGCAGCAUGAUGUUUCUGGACAUUGUUUUAUUUUGUCCCAUGAGAAUGGAAUUAUUUGCGGUGAACAUACUCUGCUUAAUACAUAGUGUAAUUAAUAUAAAGUCUUGAAAGGGUUACCUACA